GUGAGAGGUGAAGGACAGAGCAAGACUUUUUGGUAGGCCAUAACACCAGUACAACAAACAGAUCUCAGCAGGCUGCUCUGUGAAAAGAAUGGAGAUUAAUGCCAUCAACUCAGAGAGGGAGAGGCAAGUUUAUUGUACCACGUGAACGUCACUCCACCUCUGCACCAUUGAAGAAUAUUUGUAAAUACCCUGUCGAUUGACAUUUGAGCUUGAGUUUUUAACUCAUUGACAGCCACAGGCUGCUCUCCUACAUAUGGAAUUGUCAUCUCAGAUAAAGGAGCAUUGGACCAUUGAAUAGAAAGAUUCACUUAUCAGAUUGGACAGCCAGCACAGAUUCCACCAUAGAAAACCCAGGAGGGGGUAGGCAGCUAGUUGGUCAUGGGUUAUAUGACCGUGACUUUAUUUUUGACUUUUAAUCUAAUU